rnacentral:rRNA from 1 species
GAUGAACGCUGGCGGCGUGCUUAACACAUGCAAGUCGAACGGACAGGCCCUGCUUUUGUGGGGUUCACGUGUGGCGAACGGGUGAGUAAAACGUGAGUAUCCUGCACUUGACUUUGGGAUAACUUCAGGAAACUGGGGCUAAUAUAGGGUAGGAGCUCCUGCUGCAUGGUGGGCGAUGGUGAGAUUCGGCGGUGUGGGAUAGUCUAGCGGCUUAUCAGCUUGAUAGUGGAGUAGUGGCUUACCAAGGCUUUGAAGGGUAGCCGGCCUGGGAGGUUGACCGGCCACCUGGGUACUGCGGUACGGCCCAGACGCCUAUGUGCGGCAGCAGUGGGGAGCAUUGCGGAAUGGCCGGAAGCCUGAUGCGGCAACGCCGCGUUCGUGAUGACGUCCUUCUGGUUGUAAACCGCUUUCUCAUGUGCCGAAGCGUGAGUGACGGUAAUGGGUAAAAAAGCACCGGCUAACUACGUG